rnacentral:rRNA from 1 species
UCUGGUGAUGAUAGCGAAGAGGUCACACCCGUUCCCAUGCCGAACACGGAAGUUAAGCUCUUCAGCGCUGAUGGUAAUUGGGCGGAAACGCCCUGUGAGCGUAGGACAUUGCCAGGU